ensembl:miRNA
CUGCCAGAGCUGUGGAGUGUGACAAUGGUGUUUGUGUCCAAUCUAUCAAACGCCAUUAUCACACUAAAUAGCUACUGUUAGAUA